UACUGCAUCAGGAACUGACUGGA
rnacentral:ncRNA from 3 species